rnacentral:sRNA from 1 species
GAGAGGGGUCGGGCACUCAGAGGAUGCUCUGACCUUGAAAGGGUCCUAUUUGGAGAGGAGGGAGUAGAACGUGCUGAAUGUGUGCGGUUCAGGGAGCAUUUGGCAACCCUGCAUUUGGGAGCAGUGGGCAGUAACAGGUUUUGGAGAGGUGGACAUAUAGGGACUGUGAUCAGCGCCCGGGUCCAAGAGGGCGGGUACCUGUAUGUCUGGAUGCCUCACCCUCUCCCCGAACCCUUCCCACAGCCGUACCCGUGCGCAGAGGACCAGGAGUGCGGCACUGAUGAGUACUGCGCUAGUCCCACCCGCGGAGGGGACGCGGUCGUGCAAAUCUGUCUAGCCUGCAGGAAGCGCCGAAAACGCUGCAUGCGUCACGCUAUGUGCUGCCCCGGGAAUUACUGCAAAAAUGGAAUAUGUGUGUCUUCUGAUCAAAAUCAUUUCCGAGGAGAAAUUGAGGAAACCAUCACUGAAAGCUUUGGUAAUGAUCAUAGCACCUUGGAUGGGUAUUCCAGGAGAACCACCUUGUCUUCAAAAAUGUAUCACACCAAAG